rnacentral:rRNA from 1 species
UUUUUAGCAUCUAAUUAUUUUCCCAAGAAAUCCCUUUCUUAGUAUUUUCAUCACUUGACCAUUUAACGACUAAAUUCGGGAUGGAUUAGGGUUUUUCUAAUCAAGUAUUGACACUA